AUUGAACGCUGGCGGCAGGCCUAACACAUGCAAGUCGAACGAGUGGCGGACGGGUGAGUAAUGUCUGGGAACCUGCCCGAUGGAGGGGGAUAACUACUGGAAACGGUAGCUAAUACCGCAUACCAUCGGAUCUGCCCAGAUGGGAUUAGCUAGUUGGGGGGGUAAAGGCUCACCUAGGCGACGAUCCCUAGCUGGGUUGAGAGGAGGACCAGCCACACUGGGACUGAGACACGGCCCAGACUCCUACGGGAGGCAGCAGUGGGGAAUAUUGCACAAUGGGGGCAAGCCUGAUGCAGCCAUGCCGCGUGUAUGAAGAAGGCCUUCGGGUUGUAAAGUACUUUCAGCGGGGAGGCGUUACCCGCAGAAGAAGCACCGGCUAACUACGUGCCAGCAGCCGCGGUAAUAC
rnacentral:rRNA from 1 species